UCGCACGCUUUGCGUAGAUGAGGGAUGACGCAGGCACAGGCCUGAGCGUCGCACGCUUUGCGUAGAUGAGGGAUGGCGCCGGCGCAGGCCUGCGCGCCACGCGCUUUAGGUGGAUGAGGGAUGGCGCAGGUGCAGGCCUGCGCGCCUCACGCUUUAUGUACAUGAGGGAUGAGGCAGCACAGGAAUUGGCACAACCUGAAGUCAGCUCUGCAGCUUUCCAAGGUUCGUUCUGCGUGUCCUGUACUCAACAGUCAUCUCAUGCUGCAGGGUGGCUGCGUGUGCUCCGUACAUCACACCCAUAUUUCAGGGAGAAGACUGCACAUAUAACACAGCUCUGCAUGGAAAACCUUCCGCCUGGAGGGGUGGCUUCCUAGAGGUGUGGCGUUGCCCUCUGUCUUGAACAGGCUGUGAGCCGUUUUGUCAUUUGGGGUUUCUAGAUGCAAACAGCAGAAGCUGCUGGCCAAUUACCAAAGGGAACGUGCUGUUAGGAUAUCAGGGCCUGGGAGCUGCAGCAAUGUGGGCUGACAGCAGAGAGCUAAGGCACUUUCCGAGGUGACGAGCUGGGCUGCUAUGCUGGAGACGGCUGGGCAGAAGCAGUUAGCAGGGCAUUUCCUUGUGUCCUUAUCUCAAGAGUCACAGUUUCAGGAGUGAGCAUCUCAGAGGUCAGGGUUCAUUCACAUGCCACCUCCCUUCUCACUGUGUCAUUGGGGAGGGGCCGUCUGGACCCUCUGGCUCCUGUGGCAAGAAAUGGUCCCAUCAAGUCAUCCAAGGGCCUGGAAGCCUCCCAAGGAAAGCAGGAGGGCUGGGUGCUGAGCAGCGUCCAGCAGCAAAGGUAGGCUCCAGCCCCGCAGGUGUGGCUGCGCCAUCCCAGGGAACGUGCCCCAGCAAGUGCUGGUGCUGCUCUCACUACAGGUGGGGUUGGUUUCACUGGACAGGUGGCACUUCCUCACCUCUUGCCCUCUGGACCCACGGCAGGCACUUUCCAGGGCACAUCACGUGGGUGUGCGGUCUGGCUGCUGGGUCCACGCGGGUUCUCAAUCAUGACCUGGCUUGCAAGCUCUUUCCACAGUUGGAUAAAUGAAGCCGUUGGGGAAGUAUCCGCAAACUCUUACAGUGAGUAUGUGAUAAUGACACACGCGUGGCCCUUCUAAGACCUCCGCUAGGCAUUAUCAGUGACUGUGCUCGUGAGCGCUGACCUCCGCUAGGCGUUAUCAGGGACUGUGCUCGUGAGCGCCGACCUCCGCUAGGCGUUAUCAGGGACUGUGCUCGUGAGCGCGGACCUCCGCUAGGCGAUAUCAGGGACUGUGCUCAUGAGGGCGGACUUUCACCAGCCACGCUUCCGAGGAGUGGAGUCUUUCUCAGCUCUGCCUCUCCAAGAUGACCAUCUUGUGAAGACGAUGCGUUCUUUAUACACAAGUUCUGUGUGUGUGUGUGUGUGUUCCACACACAGGACCAAAGUUGAGAUAGGCGCACAUUUUCUUGGUCCCACUUGUGGCCCCAGUCGGCUGUCAGAAGUGGGUGUGCUCCACAUGUACCCACCAUGUCAGGGCACAGUGCUCACAUUUCACACCUCAGCAGGUGCCUUGAUGUUGACCAGAGGCCCCAAAAUCAUCUCUUUCUAUGACUUCUAGAUCUUAGAUUCCCAGGAACUGGGAAAUGCAGUCAGUAUCUUUUGGGUCCAAGAAACUUUGUCAGAGCCCUUGUGGGAGAACCAUAGAUUCUCACCAGAUAAACAGAAGAGCUUCGUGUUAGAGAAACCCGCCUGUCUCCCCACAUUCUCAGUUUUCUGGAGAGCAGCUGAAAGCCAUCUGGGUGGAGAUUAAGAGCUCCAACCGUGUAGCUUUGAUGUAUCGGGCAAGUUGCUUAAGCUCUUUAAUGCUGUUUCCUCAUUUAUUGUGUGAGGCCAAAAAUACCCAUUCCUUAAAGUUGUGAGGAUUAAAAACAGUAAUGAAAAGUGAGUGGCAAGUGCCGAGUACACAGUCAAGUACCUGAUACUUUUUAGUGUAAGGUAAGUAGCAAGAAAGCAUGAAAUUUAUUUUCAUUUACUCUUACUACAUGUGGUAAACCAUCUAUGCACAGAGCACUGCAUUGGGUGCCAUGAAUGACAGAAUAAGAGUACCAGGUGCAUGAAAAGCUUAAAAGACAAAUGAGACAGAGCUAGGCUGCAGAAGACUUAAAAAGUUGAUGUAUUUAACUUUUAAUGGACACACUGUACAUGUUUAUGGGGUACGAUUUGUUGUUUCCAUGCAUAUCUGUGUUGUGUAAUGAUCCAAUCAGGGUAGUGUGUGUGCCCAUUUCCUCAAGGGUGGAUCAUUAUGUGUAUCAUCGUGCAUCAUCAUGUAUCAUGCAUGUACCAUCAUCAUGCAUCAUUGUGCAUCAUCAUGCCUGUAUCAUUAUGUAUCACCUCAUGCAUAUAUUAUAAUGUAUCACCUCA
rnacentral:lncRNA from 10 species